CUCCUACGGGAGGCAGCAGUGGGGAAUCUUGCGCAAUGGACGGAAGUCUGACGCAGCCACGCCGCGUGAGUGAAGAAGGCCUUCGGGUUGUAAAGCUCUGUCGGAAGGGACAAAAACCUUGUGGGUUAAUAGCCCACGAGCUUGAUGGUACCUUUAAAGGAAGCACCGGCUAACUUCGUGCCAGCAGCCGCGGUAAUACGAAGGGUGCAAGCGUUGCUCGGAAUUAUUGGGCGUAAAGGGUAGGUAGGUGGUUACGUAUGUCUGGGGUGAAAUCCCUGAGCUUAACUCAGGAAGUGCCUUGGAAACGGCGUAACUAGAGUGCUAGAGAGGUUCGUGGAAUUACCAGUGUAGCGGUGAAAUGCGUAGAGAUUGGGAGGAACACCAGAGGCGAAGGCGGCGAACUGGAUAGCAACUGACACUCAACUACGAAAGCGUGGGGAGCAAACAGGAUUAGAUACCCGGGUAGUC
rnacentral:rRNA from 1 species